AAUCUGGUUGAUCCUGCCAGUAGUCAUAUGCUUGUCUCAAAGACUAAGCCAUGCAUGUCUAAGUAUAAAUGUUAUACAGUGAAACUGCGAAUGGCUCAUUAAAACAGUUAUAGUUUAUUUGAUAAUCGAAUUUACAUGGAUAACCGUGGUAAUUCUAGAGCUAAUACAUGCUGUUAAGCCUGACUUUUAGGAAGGGCUGUAUUUAUUAGAUAACAAACCAAUAUUCCUUGUGUCUAUUGUGACGAAUCAUAAUAACUGAUCGAAUCGCAUGGACUUUGUCCGCGAUACAUCAUUCAAGUUUCUGCCCCAUCAGCUUUCGAUGGUAGUGUAUUGGACUACCAUGGCUUUAACGGGUAACGGAGGAUUAGGGUUCGAUUCCGGAGAGGGAGCCUGAGAAACGGCUACCACAUC
rnacentral:ncRNA from 1 species